rnacentral:rRNA from 1 species
AUGGCGUUCCCUCCUUCCUACAUGGCUGUGCUCGGCAACUUCCCAAACACUUCCGUUCUCGUGUUCACCAUGGCCUAUCCCAUCGAGUGUUUCACCACAUGGUACCAAAGAACCCGUGGGACAGAAAGCAUCUAUUGGUGUCCGAGGAUGUCGUCGUCGCACCCUGCCAAUGCCACCACGCUCGCAUCACCGAUCGACCUACAACAAGGCUUCAACAGCUCCUACCUCCGUUAA